GUGGGGAAUCUUCCGCAAUGGACGAAAGUCUGACGGAGCAACGCCGCGUGAGUGAAGAAGGUUUUCGGAUCGUAAAGCUCUUUCGUUAGGGACGAACGUGCUCUUUGUGAAUAAUGAGGAGUAAUGACGGUACCUAAAUAAGAAGCCACGGCUAACUACGUGCCAGCAGCCGCGGUAAUACGUAGGUGGCAAGCGUUGUCCGGAAUUAUUGGGCGUAAAGCGCGCGCAGGCGGGAUAUCAAGUCUGUCUUAAAAGUGCGAGGCUCAACCUCGUGAGGGGACAGAAACUGGUAUUCUUGAGUGUCGGAGAGGAAAGUGGAAUUCCCAGUGUAGCGGUGAAAUGCGUAGAGAUUUGGAAGAACACCAGUGGCGAAGGCGACUUUCUGGACGAUGUCUGACGCUGAGGCGCGAAAGCUAGGGGAGCGAACGGGAUUAGAAACCCCAGUAGUCC
rnacentral:rRNA from 1 species